GUACCCGAACCGGUCGCCGUCGUAGGACGCCUGCGCGUCGACGCUCCUGAAGUUGAUGCCGAAGCGGUUGGGGUUGCGCACGCGCAUGCCCACGGUGAGGUUGUACACGAGGAGGCUGCCGCCGUUGGUGAGGUCGAAGCGGGACAGCGCAGCGGUGUCGGCGUAGGCCUUGACGACGCUGGGGCGGUAGAUGAGCCAGAGGACGAGGACGGCGGUGCCGAGCGCGAUGACGGCGACGGCGAGCACCCUGAAGAGGCAGCAGAACAGACGGUGCGCGCCGCUCCGGCGUGGCGCGGGCGGAGGCGCCGCUGCGCCGUAGUACGCUGC
rnacentral:lncRNA from 1 species